rnacentral:misc_RNA from 1 species
GAUGAAGAACGUAGCGAAAUGCGAUAAGUAAUGUGAAUUGCAGAAUUCAGUGAAUCAUCGAAUCUUUGAACGCACAUUGCGCCCUCUGGUAUUCCGGGGGGCAUGCCUGUUCGAGCGUCAUUAUAACCACUCAAGCUCUCGCUUGGUAUUGGGGUUCGCGGUUCCGCGGCCCCUAAAAUCAGUGGCGGUGCCUGUCGGCUCUACGCGUAGUAAUACUCCUCGCGAUUGAGUCCGGUAGGUCUACUUGCCAGCAACCCCCAAUUUUUACAGGUUGACCUCGGAUCAGGUAGGGAUACCCGCUGAACUUAAGCAUAUCAAUAAGCGGAGA